rnacentral:misc_RNA from 1 species
UCUCCGUUGGUGAACCAGCGGAGGGAUCAUUAUCGAGUUUAUAACUCCCAAACCCUAUGUGAACUUACCACUUGUUGCUUCGGCGCGCGCUUCGGCGCCGCCGAGGACACUUAAACUCUUUGUUUUUAUAAGCAUUUCUGAGUGGCCGAAAGGCAAAAUACAAAUGAAUCAAAACUCUCAACAACGGAUCUCUUGGUUCUG